rnacentral:rRNA from 1 species
CCCUUAGAUGUUCUGGGCCGCACGCGCGCUACACUGAUCAGUGCAACAAGCAUCCGUCCUUGGCCGAUAGGUCUGGGUAAUCUUUGAACGCUGUUCGUGAUUGGGAUAGACCUUUGCAAUUAUGGGUCUUCAACGAGGAAUUCCUAGUAAACGCAAGUCAUCAGCUUGCAUUGAUUACGUCCCUGCCCUUUGUACACACCGCCCGUCGCACCUACCGAUUGAAUGGUCCGGUGAAAUCUCGGGACGGCGGCUCGGUCGCUUGCGUCCGACUGCUGAAACUUGAUUAAACCAUAUCAUUUAGAGGAAGGUGAAGUCGUAACA